rfam:TPA: Bos taurus chromosome 24, whole genome shotgun sequence.
UUCCUGAUGCCUCAGAAGGUAAAGAAUCUGCCUGCAAUGCAGGAGACCCAGGUUAGAUCCCUGGGUGGGGAA